rnacentral:rRNA from 1 species
AUUGCACGCUGGCGGCAGGCUUAACACAUGCAAGUCGAACGAGUGGCGGCCGUGUGAGUAAUGCUUGGGAAUCUAGCUUAUGGAGGGGGAUAACUACGGGAAACUGUAGCUAAUACCGCGUAACAUAGGAUGAGCCCAAGUGGGAUUAUGUAGUUGUGGAGGUAAAGGCUCACCAAGCCGAUGAUCUCUAGCUGGUCUGAGAGGAUGACCAGCCACACUGGGACUGAGACACGGCCCAGACUCCUACGGGAGGCAGCAGUGGGGAAUAGUGCGCAAUGGGGGCAACCUGACGCAGCCAUGCCGCGUGCAUGAAGAAGGCCUUCGGGUUGUAAAGUUCUUUCAGUAGCGAGGCGUUAACUACAGAAGAAGCACCGGCUAACUCCGUGCCAGCCGCCGCGGUAAUUC